GGAGGAAAGUAGGGGAUCGCAAGACCUCACGUUAUAGGAGCGGCCGAUGUCCGAUUAGCUAGUUGGUGGGGUAAAGGCCUACCAAGGCGACGAACGGUAGCUGGUCUGAGAGGAUGAUCAGCCACACUGGGACUGAGACACGGCCCAGACUCCUACGGGAGGCAGCAGUGGGGAAUUUUGGACAAUGGGCGAAAGCCUGAUCCAGCCAUGCCGCGUGCGGGAAGAAGGCCUUCGGGUUGUAAACCGCUUUAGUCCGGGAAAAAGGGGUGCGAGGAUAAUACCCUUGUGCUUUGAUGGUACUGGAAGAAUAAGCACCGGCUAACUACGUGCCAGCAGCCGCGGUAAUACGUAGGGUGCGAGCGUUAAUCGGAAUUACUGGGCGUAAAGCGUGCGCAGGCGGUCUUGUAAGACAGUCGUGAAAGCCCCGGGCUUAACCUGGGAACUGCGUUUGAAACUACAAAGCUAG
rnacentral:rRNA from 1 species